rnacentral:misc_RNA from 1 species
GGCAUCAAAAAAUACAUAUAUAUAUAUAUUGAGAAAAUAAUAGAUAUUCAUAUUCUAUACUUAGGGGACAGCUACAAUCUUUAUUCUAUGCUUGGGGGACUGCUACAAUAUUUUUCCUGGUGAUUCCAAUCGUUCAACACGGAUAAUGUUCAGAAUCCAAAUUCAUCACUGUGUAUUACAAAACUUUAACUGUGUACUUUACAUUUUUAAAAAAUUAGAAAAGAAAACAAAUAAUAUAACUGAAAUUAAUGAGAUGAGCCAAAACAAGUUAUGACGAAGGUAGCUGUUCAUCUUACUGGUACCAUAUUGAGAGAAACACAAUAUCUAACCAUGUAAAACUACAGAGCUCUUAUCUUCUCGUCAAAAUUGUAUUUGCCUCAGGCUUGCUUUUACAAACACAUCACAAUGCUCUCAAUUCCUCGACCUUCAAAUUGAAUCCUUCCUUUGACAAUCCUUGCCUACACGUCAUAUCCCUUCUAUUUAUCAACAGUGUUGGGGAAAAAGAAUCACCUUGGAGAUG